UGAAAGCUGAAACACACAGCCCUAUUUGCUAAGCAUAUUACAAUCAAAUGGACAGAGACUCUGAUCAUUACCAGGAAUCAGAAAACCUUCCUUGGCACUGCUGGGUUAGAAGAAAGUAGAGGAAUAGGAGGCUGGAAUGACACAGAGAAGGAUGGAGAUCGGAUGAUGGAGUCUUUCCUGUUUUGGCAGAAGGACCUGAAAACCUGACUUUGGGAAGAACCAACUUGGGAAGACAGGGUAGCCGAAGAGCCAGUCGGGCAUUAAGAAUUCAUGCAGCCUUGAAUGACAACGUUUAGGAAGCACCUGGGACAAAAUCUUCACGUAAAUAAACCAACCAACAAACACACAGGACCAAGCCUGCAAAGGGAUGGAGAAAAGAAACACAAUUUGUCACUUACCAAAAUGGUAUAUAUGUGGAGAGAGACUGGAAGGAAAGCCAUCAUUAUGAAGAUUUAUAGUCAUCCAGGUAUUGUAGGUCUCAUUUAUUCUCUUCUCUACAAAAUGUUAAUUUGAAUUAUACAUUCAAUCAAGUCCCAAGCAUGGUUUACAUAGUACUGGGGACCAAACCCAGGUUUUUGUUUUAGAAAGCAUUCUACCAACUGAGUGACAUCUCUAGCCCUUUCAUAAUGGAAACAUGUGAUGGCACUAAAAAAGAACUUGUCACAAUCCAAUUCUUACCCAGACUAGAUAGAAGAGAGCCUUCUAAUUCUUACCCAGACUAGACAGAAGAGAACCAGUCUAACACUAACUGGUCCAUGGAGCUGAACCAGCAGGGAGUCUGGGCAGGCUGCCCUUUGCUGCAGAAAAUCUUAGAAGUUGUAGCAGCCCUCUUAGAUGCAAAUGCUUUCUGUUAAAAUUCUCACUAUAAGUGAAUCUCCUUGGUCCAGCUUUGAGAUAAUUUCAGAGAUAGCUUUUGGGUCACUGUGUUCUCCUUAGGGUACCAGCAGCUUUACUUGUAUUAGUCUGUUUGUUAUACUAUAAU